rnacentral:rRNA from 1 species
CCUACGGGAGGCAGCAGUGGGGAAUAUUGGGCAAUGGUCGCAAGCCUGACCCAGCAACGCAGCGUGAAGGAAGAAGGCUUUCGGGUUGUAAACUUCUUUUAAGAGGGGAGAGCAGAAGACGGUACCUCUUGAAUAAGCCACGGCUAACUACGUGCCAGCAGCCGCGGUCGUACGGAGGUGGCAAGCGUUGUCCGGAUUUACUGGGUGUAAAGGGCGUGCAGACGGGAAGACAAGUCAGUUGUGAAAUCCCGCGGCUCAACCGCGGAACUGCAGGGGAAACUGGUUUUCUUGAGUACCGGAGAGGUCAGCGGAAUUCGUGGUGUAGCGGUGAAAUGCGUAGAUAUAAGGAAGAACACCAGUGGCGAAGGCGGAUGACGGGACGGCAACUGACGGUGAGGCGCGAAAGCGUGGGGAGCAAACAGGAUUAGAUACCCUUGUAGUC